CCUACGGGCGGCAGCAGUAGGGAAUCUUUCACAAUGGGCGAAAGCCUGAUGGAGCAACGCCGCGUGCAGGAUGAAGGCCUUCGGGUUGUAAACUGCUUUUAUAAGCGAGAAAUAUGAUGGAAACUUAUGAAUAAGGAUCGGCUAACUACGUGCCAGCAGCCGCGGUCAUACGUAGGAUCCGAGCAUUAUCCGGAGUGACUGGGUGUAAAGAGUUGCGUAGGUGGCAUAAUAAGUAGCUAGUGAAAUCUGGUGGCUCAACCAUUCAGACUAUUAGCUAAACUGUUAAGCUCGAGACCGUUAGGGGUAACUGGAAUUUCUAGUGUAGGAGUGAAAUCCGUAGAUAUUAGAAGGAACACCAAUAGCGUAGGCAGGUUGCUGGGACGGUUCUGACACUAAGGCACGAAAGCGUAGGGAGCAAACGGGAUUAGAUACCCCAGUAGUC
rnacentral:rRNA from 1 species